UACAGAGGGGGCAAGCGUUAUUCGGAAUUAUUGGGCGUAAAGGGCGCGUAGGCGGCUUGGCAAGUGGAAGGUGAAAUCCCUCGGCUUAACCGAGGAACUGCCCUCCAAACUGCUUUGCUUGAGGCCGGGAGAGGUGAGUGGAAUUCCCAGUGUAGCGGUGAAAUGCGUAGAUAUUGGGAGGAACACCAGUGGCGAAGGCGGCUCACUGGACCGGAACUGACGCUGAGGCGCGAAAGCGUGGGGAGCAAACGGG
rnacentral:rRNA from 1 species